rnacentral:rRNA from 1 species
GACGAACGCUGGCGGCGUGCUUAACACAUGCAAGUCGAGCGGUAAGGCCCUUUCGGGGGUACACGAGCGGCGAACGGGUGAGUAACACGUGGGUGACCUGCCUUUAGCUCUGGGAUAAGCCUGGGAAACCGGGUCUAAUACCGGAUAUGACUCCGCGGCGCAUGUUGUGGGGUGGAAAGCCUUGUGCGGCUGGAGAUGGGCCCGCGGCCUAUCAGCUUGUUGGUGGGGUGAUGGCCUACCAAGGCGACGACGGUAGCCGCCUGAGAGGCGACCGGCCACACUGGGACUGAGACACGGCCCA